rnacentral:rRNA from 1 species
CAGUCGAGCGGACAGAAGGGAGCUUGCUCCCGGAUGUUAGCGGCGGACGGGUGAGUAACACGUGGGUAACCUGCCUGUAAGACUGGGAUAACUCCGGGAAACCGGAGCUAAUACCGGAUAGUUCCUUGAACCGCAUGGUUCAAGGAUGAAAGACGGUUUCGGCUGUCACUUACAGAUGGACCCGCGGCGCAUUAGCUAGUUGGUGAGGUAACGGCUCACCAAGGCGACGAUGCGUAGCCGACCUGAGAGGGUGAUCGGCCACACUGGGACUGAGACACGGCCCAGACUCCUACGGGAGGCAGCAGUAGGGAAUCUUCCGCAAUGGACGAAAGUCUGACGGAGCAACGCCGCGUGAGUGAUGAAGGUUUUCGGAUCGUAAAGCUCUGUUGUUAGGGAAGAACAAGUGCAAGAGUAACUGCUUGCACCUUGACGGUACCUAACCAGAAAGCCACGGCUAACUACGUGCCAGCAGCCGCGGUAAUACGUAGGUGGCAAGCGUUGUCCGGAAUUAUUGGGCGUAAAGGGCUCGCAGGCGGUUUCUUAAGUCUGAUGUGAAAGCCCCCGGCUCAACCGGGGAGGGUCAUUGGAAACUGGGAAACUUGAGUGCAGAAGAGGAGAGUGGAAUUCCACGUGUAGCGGUGAAAUGCGUAGAGAUGUGGAGGAACACCAGUGGCGAAGGCGACUCUCUGGUCUGUAACUGACGCUGAG